UUCUGCCGAUACGCAUAAUACGAACGCCGUAAGUAAAUUAAAAAGAGCAAAGCUGCCGCCUCACCCGUGGCCGAGCAUCACUUUCUCACCUAACACACUUGAUAUUGACACAUUGAUUCCCUCUUCGUCUUAUCUCUCUUCUACUUUUCUAUCCACGACCGUCAUCAUGUCCCUCCGUCUCCCAAAGGAUGAGCUUGAGGCGCACAUCUACCUCUACUUGAAGGACUCCAGAUACACCAGCGCCGCGCAGGCGCUGGAGGAGGCCAACCCGAAGGCUGUCACGCACUCCCGCAAGAUCGGCACUUCCGCCCUCACCGCCGCCUCGAAGGAGCUGGUGGCUGCCGCGGACUCUGACAGCUCCGACGAUGAGCCUGUUCGCAAGCCGGUGGCCAAGAAGCCUUCACCAAAGCAGGCCCCCAAGAAGGCCCCCAUCGCCGACAGCGACAGCUCCGACGAUGAGCCUGUUCGCAAGCCGGUGGCCAAGAAGCCUUCGCCAAAGAUGGCCCCCAAGAAGGCCCCCAUCGCCGACAGCGACAGCGACGACGACGAGCCUGUUCGCAAGCCGGUGCUAGCCAAAAAGCCUGUGGCGGACUCGAGCUCUGACGAGGAGGAGGCUCCGAAAAAGCCGGCGGCGAAGCGCCCUUCUCCGAAGCCUUCGCCAAAGCAGGCUCCCAAGAAGGCCCCCAUCGCCGACAGCGACAGCGACGACGACGAGCCUGUUCGCAAGCCGGUGGCCAAGAAGCCUUCGCCAAAGAUGGCCCCCAAGAAGGCCCCCAUCGCCGACAGCGACAGCGACGACGACGAGCCUGUUCGCAAGCCGGUGGCCAAGAAGCCUUCGCCAAAGAUGGCCCCCAAGAAGGCCCCCAUCGCCGACAGCGACAGCGACGACGACGAGCCUGUUCGCAAGCCGGUGGCCAAGAAGCCUUCGCCAAAGAUGGCCCCCAAGAAGGCCCCCAUCGCCGACAGCGACAGCUCCGACGAUGAGCCUGUUCGCAAGCCGGUGGCCAAGAAGCCUUCGCCAAAGAUGGCCCCCAAGAAGGCCCCCAUCGCCGACAGCGACAGCGACGACGACGAGCCUGUUCGCAAGCCGGUGCUAGCCAAAAAGCCUGUGGCGGACUCGAGCUCUGACGAGGAGGAGGCUCCGAAAAAGCCGGCGGCGAAGCGCCCUUCUCCGAAGCCUUCGCCAAAGCAGGCUCCCAAGAAGGCCCCCAUCGCCGACAGCGACAGCGACGACGACGAGCCUGUUCGCAAGCCGGUGGCCAAGAAGCCUUCGCCAAAGAUGGCCCCCAAGAAGGCCCCCAUCGCCGACAGCGACAGCUCCGACGAUGAGGAGCCGGUAAAAAAGAUGACCGCGACUAAAAAACCUGCGAGUGACUCCUCUGAUGAGGAGCAGCAAUCCGUACAGAAGCGUCACAUGGCGGAGGAAGACGAGGAGGAGGACCAGCCCAUGCGUCAGGUCAGCCGCACCGAAGCCCAGUCGAGCAAUGGAAGCUAUGGCGGCCGCGGUGGUCGCGGUGGUGACCGUGGCGGCUUCCGCGGUGGUGAUCGCGGAGGUUUCCGCGGUGGUCGCGGUGGUGACCGUGGCGGCUUCCGCGGUGGUGAUCGUGGCGGCUUCCGCGGUGGUGACCGUGGCGGCUUCCGCGGUGGGGAUCGUGGCGGCUUCCGCGGUGGGGACCGUGGCGGCUUCCGCGGUGGGGAUCGUGGCGGCUUCCGCGGUGGGGACCGUGGCGGCUUCCGCGGUGGGGACCGUGGCGGCUUCCGCGGUGGCGAUCGCGGAGGUUUCCGUGGUGGUCGAGGCGGUGACCGUGGCGGCUUCCGUGGUGGUCGUGGUGGCGCCCCGCAGAUUGGUCUCAGUACUCCUUCGCUCAACACGAUAAACCAGAGCGUCAAGCUCGGCAGCGACAGCGACUAGGCAGCUUAGGUGAUUGAGAGAUGCGUAGCUGCGAAACUGUUGAGGCGGUGAGCAGCUUUGGAGUGUGUGCGUGUGUGUCGUGCAUGUUUCGACGUGUUGUACCAUAAGAUCUAACCCCUCCUUUUUCCGGUUUCGUUUUGUUUUCUGUCACCCGUCCGAAGGAGCACGAAGAGGAGCACCAAGGACAGGAGGGGGGCAGGGCUUCUUAAACAAGAAUAUGUCCUUUUUCUAUUAGCUCGGUAAUUACUAAUGGCUAAUGAUGCGCUCUAUCGUUCUACAGCGACUCCCCUCUCCCAACUCUCUUGAGCGCGCACCCUUCAUGAACAAGUGUCCAUUACGUGCGUGUGCGGUUCUCACUAUCCACUUCCUGUGUCUUUUCUUUUGCACGCUUUUUUAUUGUAGGCUGGGGCGUUGCCCAGCUCUUCUUUUUGUUGCUGCGCCUUGCAUCCCUUCGCAGGCGCGCGGCCGCUCCUGUGUGGGAGGCAAGAGUAGCGGAGGUCAUCGAUUGCAGCGAAAAAGGGGGGAAGCAGAGCGCGUGCUUGUGCGUGCGUCAGUUUCGUGCCCAUCCUCAGCCCCCUCUUCUUUCCUACCUGCUCUCCCGCACACUCGAUUUUUCAUCUCCGCCCCUCCCACGUGGAUUGUGAAGGUAGUGAAGGGCAGCAUUCUUUUCCAAAAAGAAAUGAGCAUAAGGGAUGCAAAAGGAUCAAUCUGAAGGGUAAAGAGAGGCGAACAUGCGUGUCGAUUUUACAAAGCAAAAAGAGGAAGCGCGGGCGAUGGAGAGGGUGCUUACAACUGAAAGGCGGUCAUUAGUAUUUAGACAUGUGCAGCGGUCUAGGAUGAGGUAGCGUGGUCAUCUCCUUCUUGCGGGGCGAAAAUGAGACACUCAGUUUCCGUUGAUUCUCGAAAGUCUCUCAUAAGGUGUGCACAGCAGCUCAGGCGUGUUGAAACACGAGGCUCCGUCAGUCACGAGUUGUUGAUGCUUACGCCUAGAGGAUAGGCGAGACGAGCGACAUGGAAAGGGGCUCUGGAGCGCAGCUGCACCGCUGGAAUCAGCAGCACCAACAGACAUACAAACGUAGCAGGCUGCAAGUAGUAAAUGCUAUUGGCAGCGAAGAUCAUGGAACGUUUUCCUCGCGCCUCUCCUCCGGUCAUCGCAAAAGAUCUUUUGGCGCAGCAGCACAUCGUGUCGUCUUGAUGAUGUAAAAACGUGCGUUCUGUGAGACGCUGCACGGGUUCUCCCUUGCCGAAUAUCGACUGCUAAUUUUUCUCUCCCUGCGCCACUUUUCUUCAUGCACUUUCUCUCCUGCGCCGCUGCCUUUCUGCUCGCGUUUCGUUUCGAG
rnacentral:misc_RNA from 1 species